rnacentral:rRNA from 1 species
UACGUAGGUGACAAGCGUUGUCCGGAUUUACUGGGCGUAAAGAGCGCGCAGGCGGUCGAUCAAGUCGAGUGUGAAAGCCCCCGGCUCAACUGGGGAGGGUCAUUCGAUACUGAUCGACUCGAAGGCAGGAGAGGGUAGUGGAAUUCCCGGUGUAGUAGUGAAAUGCGUAGAUAUCUGGAGGAAUACCGGUGGCGAAGGCGGCAUCCUGGACCGACAUUGACACUGAGGAGCGAAAGCUAGGGGAGCAAACGGG